rnacentral:sRNA from 1 species
GAGUUAAGACUUCAAAAAAUUAGCAAAAAAAACUCAAACAAAUUUAAAAAAAAAAACCAAAAAAC